rnacentral:misc_RNA from 1 species
ACAAACUUGGUCAUUUAGAGGAAGUAAAAGUCGUAACAAGGUUUCCGUAGGUGAACCUGCGGAAGGAUCAUUAUUAUUUGGGUUGGGUUUACUUUUCAAAAAUUGGUCCUUGAAAGUUUUUUAAAAAGUAAAUCUGCACCAAAUAAAGUUUAUUUUGAACUUUAUUGAAUCCCCCCCUAUUUAUAGGGAGGAGCAAGAUGAAACCUUAUUUAAAACCAUCCACUCUUAAUGUAUUUUUAUAUAUAUAAUAAAAUAAAAUCACUUUCAACAACGGAUCUCUUGGCUCUCGCAUCGAUGAAGAACGCAGC